UGCUGCUGCCAGAAAAUCUGCAGCAGGACUGCAGUGUAAUUUCAGAUUUUGGUGGGUUAAGUUGCAAAAUUGCCAUCCUUAUCUUAACCCCAGCCACCUGACACUUAUCUUUGUACAGAACUUCUUCCCUCUCCUUCGUUCUUAUCCCUAUUUCCCUCUUUAUCUCUCUUGAGCCUAAUUAAAGCGUUGUGAAAGAAGAAUUGGUGGAGUGGAACCUUUCCUGCGUUGGAGCUGAAAGGAGUAGCCGAGCUUCAGCUCUCUAGUAUUGCUGCGUUGAGGUUGCAGCAGAAGAAGAAGAAGAAGAAGAAGAAGAAGUGAGCUGAGAACAACCUGGGUUCAUAUCAAGAUAAGGAUGUGUAGUUAAGAGAAUUGAUGGCAGUCUUGAUGUUUUGAGUUGCCGAGUUGAUAUCUCGGGUGUGUGGACUAGAGUACUAGCUGGAGAACAUCCCAAGUAAGUGGAAUGGGCAAAAUUGGGGGUAGUAAGCUGAGUGAAGUUGUCAAGUGAAGUUCCUGCCUGGGUGCUGUCAGAACUGAGAACAAAUUGGUAUCCUACUAAAUUAAGGGGAUUCAAUCCAGUAAAUUGGUGAAGCUGAGUUGAAGGAAUUCCUACUGUGGUAUUGCUGAAGUAGAGAAUUGGGUCACUUGCAGCAGUGAACAGCUUGAUAGAACCUUAAAUUAAGGUGAGCCAAGUCUAUA